rnacentral:lncRNA from 1 species
AUGGGCCCGCGGGCCGGGCGGGCUCGGGGCGGCCGGGACGAGGAGGGGCGACGACGAGCUGCGAGCAAAGAUGUGCCCCGGGACCCCCGGCACCUUCCAGUGGAUUUCCUUGCGGAAAGGAUGUUGGCGGUCCCUGUGACCUGUGGAGACACGGCCAGAUCUGCCCUCCAAGCUUUACAGAAAUUCCAUGCUGCCUUCAGCUUCCUUUGCCGCUCUGCAUCAUGUUGGACCAUAGCUGUCUGCAGUGCAGGAAGCCAACUAUUAAGGGGAAACAAAAGUGUUCUUAGGAGUCCUGCUGUCACUGUGGAUUGAGCCGGUGAAGCCCUGAGGGAUUUCAUCGCUGAGGUGGAUGGAGAAGCAGCUGGGGGCCUUGGCUGUAAGGACCCCUAAGGGCCUGAUCUUUUGGCCAGAAGGAGAUUAAAAAGAUGCCCCUCAAGAUGGCUGUGCCUGUCAGCUGCAUGGAGCUUCGUUCAAGUAUUUUCUGAGCCUGAUGGAUUUACAGUGAUCUUCAGUGGUCUGGGGAAUAACGCUGGUGGAACCAUGCACUGGAAUGACACACGCCCGGCACAUUUCAGGAUACUAAAAGUGGUUUUAAGGGAGGCUGUGGCUGAAUGCCUCAUGGAUUCUUACAGCUUGGAUGUCCAUGGGGGACGAAGGACUGCAGCUGGCUGAGAGGGUUGAGAUCUCUGUUUACUUAGAUCUCUGCCAACUUCCUUUGGGUCUCCCUAUGGAAUGUAAGACCCCGACUCUUCCUGGUGAAGCAUCUGAUGCACGUUCCAUCCGGCGCUCAGCUGGGCUUGAGGACUUCGCAGGUGAGCAGUAACGGAAAUCAGCCCCGUUUAUUCCUCCCAGCACCUGCCUUAUCCAACUCCCCACGCUGUGGCUGAGUCCCAGCCUGCUAUGGAAGCAUCACUGGACUCCCAUUGAACUCUGUGCAGAUUCGCUGUUCGUAGACAUGGUACCUGAUGGACACCAAGCUACGUACAGCUUCAAGGCCCCUUCUUUCUUUGCUAAUAAAAAAUAAAAAAUAAAAACAUAAUACACGUU